AGCGAACGCUGGCGGCAGGCUUAACACAUGCAAGUCGAGCGCCCCGCAAGGGGAGCGGCAGACGGGAGAGUAACACGUGGGAACAUACUUUUUGGUUCGGAACAACUGAGGGAAACUUCAGCUAAUACCGGAUAAGCCCUUACGGGGAAAGAUUUAUCGCCGAAGGAUUGGCCCGCGUCUGAUUAGCUAGUUGGUGAGGUAACGGCGCACGAAGGCGACGAUCAGUAGCUGGUCUGAGAGUAUGAGCCGCCUCACUGGGACUGGGACACGGCCCAGACUCCUACGGGAGGCAGCAGUGGGGAAUAUUGGACAAUGGGGGCAAUCAUGAUCCAGCCAUGCCGCGUGAGUGAUGAAGGCCUUAGGGUUGUAAAGCUCUUUUGCCCGGGAAGAUAAUGACGGUACCGGGAGAAUAAGCCCCGGCUAACUUCGUG
rnacentral:rRNA from 1 species